rnacentral:rRNA from 1 species
UACGAAGGGGGCUAGCGUUGCUCGGAAUCACUGGGCGUAAAGCGCACGUAGGCGGCUUUCUAAGUCAGGGGUGAAAUCCUGGAGCUCAACUCCAGAACUGCCUUCGAUACUGUUUGGCUUGAGACCGGAAGAGGUUAGUGGAACUGCGAGUGUAGAGGUGAAAUUCGUAGAUAUUCGCAAGAACACCGACGGCGAAGGCAGCUCGCUGGGACGGUACUGACGCUGAGGCGCGAAAGCCAGGGGAGCAAACGGG